UAAUAUAGACAGUGUUGUACAUCAAUCAAAAGUAUUUUUAAACAUUUGAUUUUUAUUCGCAAAAUAGGUCGGUAAUAAUAUGUAAUAUUAUUGGCGCACUGCCCGCUUAAUACUCUGCUGCCCGAGACUAAACAGCAUUGCACUUCAGAGCUGGUUUCAAGUGGGUGCUGUUGCUGUAGUCCGUUUAUUGCAAAGAAAAUAAUUAACAUGACCGACGAAAACUGACUUUUCUAUAGGACCCUGUUUGGCGUUUGCCUUUAAUGUCAGUCAAAUACGGACGGGACGAUUGUUGGAGGAAAAACGGCUAUUUUUAAAAUUUUGAGGAAAUAUUAUAUUGUGUAGGUGGAUACUGGGAAAUUAUUUUCUCAAUAAUAAUUAAUAAAAUAUACUUUUUAUACUAUUUACAUUAUCCAAAUAGUUUUUUAGUUGGCAUAAAUAGAUGCCUGGGCGUGCAUAAUAAUGUGUACGUUAGUGGUGUGAGAAGGAACAUAAUAUAAAUUAUUAUUAUUUACUUAUAUAUGUAUUUUCAAGUGCAAGCUCUUACUGUUUAUUCUUUUUAUUAUGUAGAACAAAUAUAGAGACUAGGAAUUCGGAUAUGAUACAGGACACAUUUACAGAUUUGUAAGCAGGCAUGUACAAUAAAAAUAAUAUUCAAUCACAUAUCAUUUUUAAAUUUUAUAUUUAAACAUUUAAAAAAAAAAUAUUCGUUUUACACCUUUUUCAUGAGGAGUUUAAAAAUUUAUGAUAUACUUUCUAGCUCAUGUUCAAAAGAGCUAAUAAGUAAUAACAUUGAUUUACCCAUAAAUGAAUUUCCUCAAAUUCUAAACACCACAUAAUUGGUGUACCUAUUAUUAUUAUACAGAGAUGUAGUGCAGUACUGCAUUUUCAAUAAAACAGCACUACACAACAAGCUUGUAGGUCAAUUGCAGGUUGCCUAUCGAACCAGUGGCAGUCAGUGACCCUCAGUUAAAACAGGUCAGCUGGUCGUGUUAAUAGUGCAAUUUUGCAUUUUUACAAUUUAAAAUUAUUAUUAAGUGUUUAAAAAAAUUAAAUUAACACUCAUAAUGAUUAGUAUAAAAUAUAAUAUACACUAUAUAUAUAUUAAUAAUUUAUGUUGAAUUUAUUAAUAUGUAAAAAUAACAAAAUUCUAUAACAAUUGACAAUGUUAAUUCACGAGUUUAAAAUUCAUAAGAAAAAAGUGCUAAACGUUUGAUAAGUUGAGUUAGGAUAUAAAUGUAUAAAGAACUCAGACCUUAAACUUAAAACCAUCAGUAGUCUGCCUUAUCAUUUUCACCAUAAUAUAUUGAGAAUUAUUCCAAAGUUAGCUUUUUAAGCCGUGCCGUAGAAUAACAUAUUUUGAAUAGCUAUAACUUUGAAAGUUCUAUCAACAUUAGAAUUUACUAAUGUCACAUUACUUUGUUUCAUCAAAA